rnacentral:rRNA from 1 species
UAAUACGUAGGCAGCAAGCGUUGUUCGGAAUUACUGGGCGUAAAGAGUGCGUAGGUGGUGCUCUAAGUUUGGUGUGAAAUCUCCCGGCUUAACCGGGAGGGUGCGCCGAAAACUGGAGUGCUUGAGGGUGGGAGAGGUAAGCGGAAUUCCUGGUGUAGCGGUGAAAUGCGUAGAUAUCAGGAGGAACACCUGUGGUGUAGACAGCUUACUGGACCACUUCUGACACUGAGGCACGAAAGCGUGGGUAGCAAACAGGAUUAGAUACCCUGGUAGUCCACGCCCUAAACGAUGCAUACUUGGUGUGAGUCAUUCAUUUGAUUCGUGCCGGAGCUAACGCGUUAAGUAUGCCGCCUGGGGAGUACGGUCGCAAGGCUG